CGCGGCGGAAGGCGCCGAGCGGUGCACAACGCGGAAGCGAGCCGCGCCGCCGCCAGAUCCGGCGGGGCGAUGGCUGGAGCCGGCGGGCGGCGGGGGCCGGUGCGGGGGGCCGCGGCCCUGUGAGCGGCGAGCGGGCGUCGCCGCCCCUGCCCCUGCCCGGCUCGGGGGCCGGCGGCGGCGGGCGGCCAUGGCCACCCGGCGUCUAACGGACGCGUUCUUGUUGUUGCGGAACAACGCGGUGCAGAGCCGGCAGCUGCUGGCCGAGCAAGUGAGUAGUUACGGCUCCUCCAGCCCUGUGGGUUCACGUAGCAUGGCUGCUGCGGAGCUGGAUGAGCUUGCUGAUGAUCGUAUGGCACUGGUAUCAGGAAUAAGUUUAGAUCCUGAAGCAGCAAUUGGUGUAACAAAACGCUUACCUCCCAAAUGGGUUGAUGGAGCAGAUGAAAUUCAGUAUGAUAUCACCAGGGUUAAACAGAAGAUGAAAGAAUUAGCUAGUCUUCAUGAUAAACAUCUAAACAGACCAACAUUGGAUGACAGCAGUGAAGAAGAACAUGCAAUAGAAAUAACCACCCAAGAGAUCACACAGUUAUUUCACAGGUGUCAGAGAGCAGUCCAAGUCUUGCAGAGCAGGUCACGCAGUUGUACCGAACAAGAAGAACGUGUUCUCAGGAAUGUCGUGUCUUCCUUAGCACAGUCACUUCAGGACCUGUCCACCAACUUUAGGCAUGCACAGUCUGACUAUCUCAAACGCAUGAAGAACAGAGAAGAAAGAUCCAGACACUUCUUUGACACCUCAGUCCCACUUAUGGAUGAUGGCGAGGACAAUACACUUUAUGAUAGGGGUUUUACAGAUGACCAGCUAGCAUUGGUGGAGCAAAACACAUUAAUGGUGGAAGAGCGAGAACGAGAAAUCCGUCAGAUUGUACAGUCAAUCUCUGAUCUGAAUGAAAUAUUUAGGGACCUGGGAGCAAUGAUAGUAGAACAGGGAACAGUUCUAGAUAGAAUUGACUACAAUGUUGAACAGUCAUGUCUCAAAACUGAAGAGGGCCUAAAACAGUUACAUAAGCUUCUAUUAGCAGACUUUCAUUUGGCUUUUGGAGAGUUUUCUCCACGUUGCCUCCUUUUAAUUCCCCUGGGAAAAAGAGGAAAGGGAUGAGAAAAUGUGGUUAGAAGAAAGAAGGAAUGAAGCAGGAAACUGAGAACCAAAUCAAAAUGAAAACUUUCAGUUCUAAUUGAAUUUAAAUGAAAAUGCACAGCUGAAUCAGGCAGAGCAAUAUCAAAAGAAGAAUCGGAAGAUGCUUGUUAUUUUAAUUUUGUUUGUCAUAGUAAUUGUCCUUAUUGUUGUUCUCAUUGGUGUAAAGUCACACUAGGUUUCACUUAAUUUUCUUAUUUUUUGGAGUUUGUGAACUUUUUUCCCCAAUGUGAAUGGAUGGACCUGCACUCCAGAAAGCUGCCUUUGAAUGUAUAAGCCCUUGUGGUGCAAAGUCUGUGCAAUGUUUCAGAAGAACUCUUUGAAGUACAAGUUUGGUCAUCUGUGAGGUGUUUCUAAAGAUUAUAUGGAAAAUGUCAGGAAAUCUUAUGAUGCUCCGAAACAAAUUAUCUGGCUCUUUAUCCAGAGGUAUUUGGAAACACAGUACAUUAAAAAAAAAAAAAAGAAAAAGAAAAAGAAAAAAAGGGAAAAAAAAGUACAGUAAGUAGUGUGUUAUUGUGAACAAAAAUGUUUUCCGUCUUAUGUCACAGUUAUCAUGGGCUUCAAAUCUAAACCAUGUUAUUGAGUCAUGGGGCUCAAUAACAAAACCAGAUCUAGAUGUAAGAUGCGUUAAAAGAAGCACAAAAAUGUUUGACUUCAUCUCCUUUCCUCCAGAUUCAACCCCCCCACAAAGAACUGGAUAGACUGCUAAAAAGGAAAGCUUUUAACAACCAGAACCUAAUCCAGCCCUGUGAUCUUAAUUUAGAUAUUGCACCAUUACUAAGAAUUGAGAGUAGUACUUAAUCUUGUAAAUAACAGGAUUUAAUCACUGACAUAAUUUAACACAUUUAGUUAAUUAAAAAAUUUUCUAAGCUUGAGUAAUCAUGGGAAUGUUUUUCCUCUUUGGAAAGAUUGCAUAUAGGUUUUCAUGUACAGGUUUUUUUUAUAUAGUUUACAGUACAACCAUUACAUUGAAACAGUGAUAAAGUUAAAGCCAAAAAAUACAAAGAUUAUCCUUUUGGCCUUCUAUAUCAUCUGGCCUGCUGUAGCGGAUCUGGGAUAUUUCAUUCUACUGUUGUUGCAUAAGCUGUUUAUUUUACAGUACAUCUGUUCAUACAAGUUGGUAAACUUUUAUAUAAAAUUGUGACUUCACUACAGUAUAUAUUGCAUGCAUUCUCCCUGAUAGAAGAUUAUUUUUUCAAACACCUACCUGGAAGAGGACAUGUUAAUGGUCUUCUACUGACCAUUUGUCAGUACAUGACAAAUGUCAUGGACAAUGUCAAUGUCAUGGCAAAUGUCAUGGAACUAACAGGUAUUAGGCCUUCAGUAUAGAAUUUUUGUUUUUUCUACUAUUUUUUGCAGCUGAAAACUUUGCUGUGGGCUGUGAAAGAAAACAGGGAAACAUUUUAGCAAUAGAUUAUUCAUGAUUUAAUUCAGGCCUGAAGUGAUGUGCAAUUUUAGAGGCCUUGCCUUAAUAUUUUUAAUAUGGCUUUUUCUUUGUGGAUUGUUUUUGCUUAAGGGACUGUAACUUUUAUCUCCUUUUCCAACUGAUACAGUGAUCCCCAUAAACUUGCAGAGAUGAUCUGCUCAAGGCCCCUGAAGUAUGGUUUCAUAAUAUUAAUGAUUCUAAUGUUGCAUAUAGGAAACAGGAGUCCUCUACCUGCCCUGAGCUCUUGUCUUUACUGUGUAAGUACUAAGGAGGGCCUAAGGUGUGGUGGUCCUAAGCUUAGUGCAGGAACAGACCUGAUAAAGACGACUGCAGAGACAUGAAAGCCUUGGCUUUUUGUCUGACUUAUUGCAAAAAGCUUCGUACCACUCUUGUUACCUCUGGACAAAGUGGACUUUGAACUUCCAAAACUGCCAGUUCAAACCCUUGAUGGAAUUUGCAGAGUAAAUUGGUAAAAGAAAGAAUGACACUUUUAGUGGGUGUGCAGCUCCCCCGUUUUGGUAUAAAUCUCUUCAAUGAUCGUGAGUAAAACUACUGUCUCCCUAGUGUGCUGUCUACAUCAUUUGGUGUGAAGCAGCAUAUUGCUAUAAUUUAAUAUAAUGUAUUUGCAACUUUCUCUCUAACAUGAGAUCGUGUUAUUUAUUUCUGUCUUGACUGGUGCUUUUGACAUUUUAUCAUGGCUAAUGAAUUCAAAGAAGUAAUAAAACAUUUCCAACCUAA